CCCCUGUGAUGAGUUUCAUGCUAAUACUGAGAUGCCAGGUAGGGGUUUUACCUUGCAUUGGGUGUUGUUGAAAUACAUUCCGCUUCUCUUAAAGCCACCUGAGGGGC